CGAGAACCAUAUUAUCUGCGACUCAACACAGCUUUGAGGAGCAGUUGACAGAAAAUCGGAUGAAAAAUGAUUUUUCAAAACUUGCUCAAAAUAAUGGUGCUAACUGCUGGUUUGGAGGCCUACAAAAUUUUGGUGUAUUUCCCAACGCCUUCCUUCAGUCAUCAACGUCCGAUAAUGGCUCUGACGGAACGGUUAGUCACAAGGGGUCAUGAAUUGUUCGUGAUCAGCCCAAAUCCUGUACCGGGACUCAACGAUCACGAGAAUUACACCUUCGUGGAUCUCUCGUUUUCUUAUAAUAUUUCUCGGACGAUACUCAAGAUGACGAUACUUUCAAUAUGCAAAAACCGAUAACCUGGUGGGAAUUCACUUCGCAAUUUCCAGCCUUGGCUGGUAUUCCAAGACAACAACUGCUCAGUGACUCACAUUUGCGAUUUCAAAGAACCACGUGAUUCUGAAGAAGAGGCAGGCUUUGAGGUCGAACCAGCCUCUAUGUGUGACGGUUAUUCAGGGAAAGUCAAUGUGUUCCUCCUAACACAUACUGUGGAGGCUUUGCCGGGGUCGGAUUUUUUAGAUUUGCGGGUCACGCAAUGUUUCAAUAACAAUCUCAUAGCUUCUGUUCAUGAAAGUUGGGUGCACAUUCUGUUUUUCAACAGCACGACUUUUAGAUUGCCGGCACUCCGUAGAGAUUUAGCUGCUGUCGUCCCACGGAGCAAAUUCCGCGUUAUCCAAAGGAAAUUGGAAGGCGCAAAAAAAGGAGAAAUCUUCUGGGACGCGGAGAGAUUCUACAGUUGCGUUGAUACGAUGGAAAAAAGUACCUACGACGAAGAUACAAUCGUUAGUACGAUCGUGAAAGUGGAAAGAUUUCUUCGGCGCAAGUUCGAAUUAAGAAAGGCCCUACUGGUGAGAAAAUACACCUGUAUUAUCUCUCAAAUGGUGAUAGUAAAUGGCGGGUGAAAACGUUCGCAUCCCUAAAAGACAGGCGAAUUGCCUUGACAAAUAUUAUCUUAUCGACGAAACCCAACAAUUUCUUCUGCAAUACAGACCCUGUUGGUCAUUAUCAGACACAGAAAGGUGUGACCCGAUCAAAGCCUGCUCUCCCGAGGGGUGAGUUGGCCCCGGUUGACAAGUAUGCCCGUGUCGGGGAAAUGAUACGUAUAACCGACCCUACGCCUGAAGAAAAACUUAAGGAAAAACUGAAAUCUCGUAAGUAUAUAUCCAUUAUAGACCCGUGAUUCUUAACAUAGGUUCAUUAUAGACUCCUCUCUUCUUUUGGAAUAUAUUAUUCCUCUCCAAGGGGGCAUUUAGAAACUUCUCACUUCAACGUGAAAUUAAAAUUCUUCCUGAAGUGUGAUCUAGGGGCGCCUACAAUUUUUUCCCCUCGGCGAGCUGGGGCGUAAGUUUUGUCGGUAACUGAAUUUAAAGCCUUUGCCUUCAGCUUAUCAACUCUUUUUUCGUUGGGAACCGUUUAUCAUCUGAUAUCACAUCUUAUUGCAGAACCUACUAUUUUAUCAGUCACUUUUUUUAACGCUGGGCCGUGUUAUCACUUAAGAGUAAACGACGUUUCUCAUUUUGUAAGUGAGGAGAUUUUUCAUUCAGUCCCCAUUAAUUAGAUAUUUACGAUGGCAUUCUUUUACAGGCAUCUCUCCUGCUGAGUUAGAGGCGCUCGUCGACGAACGAUUCGCCCAACGGAAAGCUGCUCUUGAAGAGGAAAUUCGAGAAAAAAUGAACUCUUUUUUCAAUGACAAAAUGCGUACUACGGCAUUUCAGAGUACUGCUGAUUCAGAACCACACAACCUUACUUCUACACAAACAGGGGAAACGGCAGCCCAGCCUAAUGAUUCUUAUUCUGGAAAAGGGAAGUCAUGGCGUUCUGGCCCAACCAAGUUUAAAAGUUGUAAGUAUAGCUUUUUAAUAAACGGUCCCUCUUACCCUACAACGGUCCAGUAAGGUUUCGCAAUCUGAGAAAGGGAUUCAUUACUGCAGCAACAUAUUGGUACGUGGGGUGCACUUCAAAGUUUUUCUCCUGUUCCCAAUUUUCACUCCGUGUACUUCCAUUCGGAGCACGCAGCAAGUCGAUACUCCGUCACGUUACGGAUACUACUCACGUAAAUCACGCCUCUACGUCUUUUACGCAGCCACGUCCUUCACCGCCACCACGUUAUUCACGUAAUUCACGUAAUUCACGUCUCUUGCUACAUUCGGGUCAUUCACGUCA
rnacentral:lncRNA from 1 species